AUGCUUGCUUCAGCAGCACAGAGACUAACGUUGGGAGGGUACGGAGAUUAGCAUGGCCUUGCACAAGGAUGACACAGAUUUGUGAAGCAUUCCGUUGAAAG
rnacentral:snRNA from 1 species